UCAUGUAGUGUAUAAACAAAAUUAUGUUAUAUAUCUAUUAUAUCUUCCCAACUACCCAUGUACGACAGUGGCCUACUCGUGAGCGAUACCAUCGUUUUGUUUUGUUUUUAAUUCCCACGUUCGACGAGGUAGCAGGUAAUUUAGGUGGCCUAUUGACCGCCCAGUAAUCAUAAUCGAAUUUGUCGGAUUGGCCUCUAAUUACGAAUAUACUUUACGUUUUAUACUGCGGUUUAGUGCAGCCACAUGAGACGAGGGUCUUACAAAUCGAAGGACGUUGUAUACGAUGUGGUAGCGGAGA